CCCGGCCCUGUCUAUAAUGCAGUCGAGCGAAUCGAUGGGAGCUUGCUCCCUGAGAUUAGCGGCGGACGGGUGAGUAACAUGUGGGCAACCUGCCUAUAAGACUGGGAUAACUUCGGGAAACCGGAGCUAAUACCGGAUACGUUCUUUUCUCGCAUGAGAGAAGAUGGAAAGACGGUUCUGCUGUCCUUAUAGAUGGGCCCGCGGCGCAUUAGCUAGUUGGUGAGRUAAUGGCUCACCAAGGCGACGAUGCGUAGCCGACCUGAGAGGGUGAUCGGCCACACUGGGACUGAGACACGGCCCAGACUCCUACGGGAGGCAGCAGUAGGGAAUCUUCCGCAAUGGACGAAAGUCUGACGGAGCAACGCCGCGUGAACGAAGAAGGCUUUCGGGUCGUAAAGUUCUGUUGUUAGGGAAGAACAAGUACCAGAGUAACUGCUGGUACCUUGACGGUACCUAACCAGAAAGCCACGGCUAACUACGUGCCAGCAGCCGCGGUAAUACGUAGGUGGCAAGCGUUGUCCGGAAUUAUUGGGCGUAAAGCGCCGCGCAGGUGGUUCCUUAAGUCUGAUGUGAAAGCCCCACGGCUCAACCGUGGAGGGUCAUUGGAAACUGGGGAACUUGAGUGCAGAAGAGGAAAGUGGAAUUCCAAGUGUAGCGGUGAAAUGCCGUAGAGAUUUGGAGGAACCCCCSUGGCGAAGGCCGACUUUCUGGUCUGUAACUGACACUGAGGCCGCGAAAGCCUGGGGAGCAAACAGGAUUAGAUACCCUGGUAGUCCCACCGCCGUAAACGAUGAGUGCUAACGUGUUCAGAGGGUUCCCCGCCCCUUUAGUGCUGCAGCUAACCGCAUCUACAGCACCUCCCCCUGGGGAGUACGGCCCCGCCACGGCUGAAACUCAAAGCGAAUUGACGGGGGCCCGCACAAGCGGUGGAGCAUGUGGUUUAAUUCGAAGCAACGCGAAGAACCUUACCAGGUCUUGACAUCCUCUGACAACCCUAGAGAUAGGGCUUUCCCCUUCGGGGGACAGAGUGACAGGUGUGCAUGUUCUAACGGCUUU
rnacentral:rRNA from 1 species